UACGGAGGGGGCUAGCGUUGUUCGGAAUUACUGGGCGUAAAGCGCACGUAGGCGGACCGGAAAGUUGGGGGUGAAAGCCCGGGGCUCAACCCCGGAACUGCCUUUGAAACUAGAUGGCUUGAAUCUUGGAGAGGCGAGUGGAAUUCCGAGUGUAGAGGUGAAAUUCGUAGAUAUUCGGAAGAACACCAGUGGCGAAGGCGACUCGCUGGACAAGUAUUGACGCUGAGGUGCGAAAGCGUGGGGAGCAAACAGG
rnacentral:rRNA from 1 species